rnacentral:tRNA from 1 species
GCCGAGAUAACUCAGUUGGGAGAGCGUUAGACUAAAGAUCUAAAGGCCCCCGGUACAAUCCUGUGAUUUGGCA